rnacentral:rRNA from 1 species
AGUGAACGCUGGCGGUAGGCCUAACACAUGCAAGUCGAACGGCAGCACAGUAAGAGCUUGCUCUUACGGGUGGCGAGUGGCGGACGGGUGAGGAGUACAUCGGAAUCUACUUUUUCGUGGGGGAUAACGUAGGGAAACUUACGCUAAUACCGCAUACGACCUACGGGUGAAAGCAGGGGAUCUUCGGACCUUGCGCGAUUGAAUGAGCCGAUGUCGGAUUAGCUAGUUGGCGGGGUAAAGGCCCACCAAGGCGACGAUCCGUAGCUGGUCUGAGAGGAUGAUCAGCCACACUGGAACUGAGACACGGUCCAGACUCCUACGGGAGGCAGCAGUGGGGAAUAUUGGACAAUGGGCGCAAGCCUGAUCCAGCCAUACCGCGUGGGUGAAGAAGGCCUUCGGGUUGUAAAGCCCUUUUGUUGGGAAAGAAAAGCAGCAGGAUAAUACCCCGCUGUUCUGACGGUACCCAAAGAAUAAGCACCGGCUAACUUCGUG